GACGAACGCUGGCGGCGUGCUUAACACAUGCAAGUCGAACGGAAAGGCCCUGCUUGCAGGGUACUCGAGUGGCGAACGGGUGAGUAACACGUGGGUGAUCUGCCCUGCACUUCGGGAUAAGCCUGGGAAACUGGGUCUAAUACCGGAUAGGAGCCAUUUUUAGUGUGAUGGUUGGAAAGUUUUUUCGGUGUAGGAUGAGCUCGCGGCCUAUCAGCUUGUUGGUGGGGUAAUGGCCUACCAAGGCGGCGACGGGUAGCCGGCCUGAGAGGGUGGACGGCCACAUUGGGACUGAGGUACGGCCCAGACUCCUACGGGAGGCAGCAGUGGGGAAUAUUGCACAAGGGGCGCAAGCCUGAUGCAGCGACGCCGCGUGGGGGAUGACGGCCUUCGGGUUGUAAACUCCUUUCGCUAGGGACGAAGCUUUUUGUGACGGUACCUAGAUAAGAAGCACCGGCUAACUACGUG
rnacentral:rRNA from 1 species